rnacentral:rRNA from 1 species
AUUGAACGCUGGCGGCAUGCUUUACACAUGCAGGUCGAACGGUAACAGGCCGCAAGGUGCUGACGAGUGGCGAACGGGUGAGUAAUGCAUCGGAACGUGCCCAGUCGUGGGGGAUAACUACUCGAAAGAGUAGCUAAUACCGCAUACGAUCUAUGGAUGAAAGCGGGGGACCGUAAGGCCUCGCGCGAUUGGAGCGGCCGAUGUCAGAUUAGGUAGUUGGCGGGGUAAAGGCUCACCAAGCCAACGAUCUGUAGCUGGUCUGAGAGGACGACCAGCCACACUGGGACUGAGACACGGCCCAGACUCCUACGGGAGGCAGCAGUGGGGAAUUUUGGACAAUGGGCGCAAGCCUGAUCCAGCAAUGCCGCGUGCAGGAAGAAGGCCUUCGGGUUGUAAACUGCUUUUGUACGGAACGAAACGGCUCUGGUUAAUACCCGGGGCUAAUGACGGUACCGUAAGAAUAAGCACCGGCUAACUACGUG